AGCAAGGGCACUCUGUGUUACAAGAAAAACUUAGUAUUGUAAAACAAUUUGUAACCUUGCCAGAAAAAAUAUCACAAAUUUUGGAUUUGUCUCCUAUUUCUCAAGGAAUCAAACAUAAAUAUAGUGAAACAUUUU